UCAGGUCAAAACCAUUAACUACUUAUUCUCACUGAGGUUCUGCUGCUCAGAUAUAGUAAAUAUGAUUUGAAGUUAUGGUCAGUGAUGUUUCUUGCUGAUGUUUAGCACUCGCAGACUGCAGUCUUCACAUUGUUGUCUCCUCAUCAAGUCCUCAAGGUUUAGUCAUCUAGUGCCAUCUAGUGACAUCAUUUCCACACCAGGGAGAUCAGCACUCGCAGACUGCAGUCUUCACAUUGCUGUCUCCUCAUCAAGUCCUCGAGGUGGAGAAUGAACUAAAGCCAGAAAGAGAGAUAAUACUCAUAGUUCUCACUUUCCAAAAUGUACAAUGUGCAAAGUAACAGCCAAAACAAUUGCUACAGUUACUUGUAUCUUACUUGAAUAAAUAUGAUAAAAUAAAUGAAAUAAACAAA